rnacentral:rRNA from 1 species
GACGAACGCUGGCGGCGUGCUUAACACAUGCAAGUCGAACGGUAAGGCCCUUCGGGAUACACGAGUGGCGAACGGGUGAGUAACACGUGGGUGAUCUGCCCUGCACUUCGGGAUAAGCCUGGGAAACUGGGUCUAAUACCGGAUAGGACCACUGCCUGCAUGGGUGGUGGAAAGCUUUUGCGGUGUGGGAUGGGCCCGCGGCCUAUCAGCUUGUUGGUGGGGUGAUGGCCUACCAAGGCGACGACGGGUAGCCGGCCUGAGAGGGUGACCGGCCACACUGGGACUGAGAUACGGCCCAGACUCCUACGGGAGGCAGCAGUGGGGAAUAUUGCACAAUGGGCGCAAGCCUGAUGCAGCGACGCCGCGUGAGGGAUGACGGCCUUCGGGUUGUAAACCUCUUUCAGCACCGACGAAGCGCAAGUGACGGUAGGUGCAGAAGAAGGACCGGCCAACUACGUGCCAGCCGCCGCAGUAA